AUGUUUUUCUUCCUGGACAGAUGGGCAAGUUACCUUUGUGAUUCCUUGUGACCGCGGAGGCUGUGUGAUUGGUCACAAUCAGAACGUGUCUCAUUUUGACCUUGACACUUCUGCUCUCACGAAGCUGGUGAGCGUGGAGGAGGGGCUGGAGACUCGCUUCAAUGACGCUAAGUGUGACGCCUCUGGCAGGCUGUGGGCGGGUACGAUGGGCCAUGAGGGAGACAUCCCUGGAGUGGUCAAGCUCGGUCUAGGAAGUCUGUACAGUUUGUCCACUGACCACAACAUAAAGAAA